GAACUUACCUGGCAGGGGAGAUACCAUGGUCACAAAGGUGGUUUUCCCAGAGUGAGGCUCAUCCGUUGCACUGCAGGUAUGCUGACCCUUGAGAUUUCCUCGGAUGUGGGAAACUCGACUGCAUAAUUUAUGCUAGUGAGGCACUGCGUUAGUGCUUUCCCCUG
ensembl:snRNA U1 U1 spliceosomal RNA